UGGGGAAUAUUGCACAAUGGGCGCAAGCCUGAUGCAGCGACGCCGCGUGGGGGAUGACGGCCUUCGGGUUGUAAACUCCUUUCGCUAGGGACGAAGCUUUUUGUGACGGUACCUAGAUAAGAAGCACCGGCUAACUACGUGCCAGCAGCCGCGGUAAUACGUAGGGUGCGAGCGUUGUCCGGAAUUACUGGGCGUAAAGGGCUCGUAGGUGGUUUGUCGCGUCGUCUGUGAAAUUCCGGGGCUUAACUCCGGGCGCGCAGGCGAUACGGGCAUAACUUGAGUACUGUAGGGGUAACUGGAAUUCCUGGUGUAGCGGUGAAAUGCGCAGAUAUCAGGAGGAACACCGAUGGCGAAGGCAGGUUACUGGGCAGUUACUGACGCUGAGGAGCGAAAGCAUGGGUAGCGAACAGG
rnacentral:rRNA from 1 species